AUUGAACGCUGGCGGCAGGCCUAACACAUGCAAGUCGAGCGAGCGGCGGACGGGUGAGUAACGCAUGGGGACUCCCCGAUAGCGGGGGAUGACCACCGGAAACGGUAGCUAAUACCGCAUACUAUCGGCUUUCCCAUAUGGGAUUAGCUAGGAGGUGAGGUAACGGCUCACCUAGGCGACGAACCCUAGCUGGUAUGAGAGGAUGAUCAGCAACACUGGAACUGAGACACGGCCCAGACUCCUACGGAGGAAGCAGUGGGGAAUAUUGCACAAUGGGCGCAAGCCUGAUGGAGCAAUGCCGCGUGGAUGAGGAAGGCCUUAGGGUUGUAAAGUACUUUCAGUGGGGAGGCGUUACCUGCAGAGGAAGCACCGGCUAACUCCGUGCCAGCAGCCGCGGUAAUUC
rnacentral:rRNA from 1 species